GUACAUUUAGUAGACGUUGGGCAAUUCACACACACAAGUAUUAUGGUAAAAAUAUGUAAGUUGGCAGUUUGCAGUGAAUAAGAUUUAACAAAUCAGAGUCAAGAUUAUCUUCUUGAAGAGGUUCAAAUCAAUAGUCACCUCAGGUUUUUUAAAUGCAGGUAAACCUGCUAAAAAUAGGUGAUUGACUCCAUUCACAUUACCAGUAGACGAGUUUCCCUUUUCUGUUAUUUCCAGAUGUGUCGCGUUCGACUUCACGAACGCGCUGGAAAACUGGGUUAGAAAACAAUAGAAAGUAGCAUGGAGGCUAGUGACAAUGUUAUGGUGGUUGCAGUGUGUAGCCACAGGCUGUAUAAAAAUGAGGUGUAGCCGCGGUGUUUCUGGUUAACAGGUGACAGCAUUGAUUUGUGUACUGCUACCAGCAGCGCUGUGCGAGAUAUGACUGUUGAGAAAGAAAGGCACUUUUAUAUUUGUUACAAGAUGUUUAUUUCUUUCAGUCCUUGUUGGGGUCAUGGCCACCUGUGAAGCCUCCACCACGCCUGCUACACACAGCAUAAACUUGUGGAUCAUUGGUGAGAGAGCUGCAGAGAUCAGCACCCUGGCAUGAAGACCAUGUUUUUAUCUGUGACCCAAAAGGUGCCGGUGGAAGGCUGGUGCCAAUCCGGUGAAGCUCGACAAGGCCAGGAAAUUUGUCAAGAGUGUUAUGGCUACACUUGUUCGUGGCUUAAAUGGUGUUAUGAUUGAGCACCCUCACAUUAGACAUGACAAUCCUGGGCUAUUUUUGAAAGAUGGACAUCAUUUCACACCUAGAGGAAAUUAUAUGUACAGUAUCGAAUUGCCUUAAAGACCACCUCCAAACGCAGUGAACUGCUUACAGUUGGCAAUGUCACUGCUUUUGAAUUUAGCCUUUAGGACCCAUUUUGUUACACCUAAACAUAGCCCUGACCAUCAUGGCUAAUGUUGAGUUUAUUUUUUAUGUUAAAAAUUUACACUGUUACCUCCUCUGCUCUUCCUCAUUCCUACAAUCCCACCCUUUAUCCCCUUUCCCCCCCACCACCCCAUGGACUCUGGAUGUUACGUCUUGCACAGGCCCAGUCGGUUGAUCUUAUCUGAAUAAAUGUGUUUACUUUU